rnacentral:miRNA from 1 species
GGCGGAGACUGGAGCAAGUGCUC